rnacentral:rRNA from 1 species
UACGGAGGGUGCAAGCGUUAAUCGGAAUUACUGGGCGUAAAGCGUGCGCAGGCGGUUGUGCAAGUCAGAUGUGAAAUCCCCGGGCUUAACCUGGGAAUUGCAUUUGUGACUGCACGGCUAGAGUGUGUCAGAGGGGGGUAGAAUUCCACGUGUAGCAGUGAAAUGCGUAGAUAUGUGGAGGAAUACCGAUGGCGAAGGCAGCCCCCUGGGAUAACACUGACGCUCAUGCACGAAAGCGUGGGGAGCAAACAGG